rnacentral:tRNA from 1 species
AGAGAGGUGGCCGAGUGGCUUAAGGCGCACGCUUGGAAAGCGUGUAUACGUUAAUAGCGUAUCGUGGGUUCGAAUCCCAUCCUCUCUGCUA